UACGUAGGGGGCAAGCGUUGUUCGGAAUUACUGGGCGUAAAGGGCGCGUAGGCGGCAGGCCAAGUCGGGAGUGAAAGCCUGUGGCUCAACCACAGAAUUGCCUUCGAUACUGCAUGGCUUGAGACCGGAAGAGGUUAGUGGAACUGCGAGUGUAGAGGUGAAAUUCGUAGAUAUUCGCAAGAACACCAGUGGCGAAGGCGGCUGACUGGUCCGGUUCUGACGCUGAGGCGCGAAAGCGUGGGGAGCAAACAGG
rnacentral:rRNA from 1 species